GUCACGAUUGCUCAAGUGGUAAGAGUAGCGGCCUUUUUAGCCGAAGGUCGUGGGUUCGAAUCCCACUCGUGACA